rnacentral:rRNA from 1 species
ACCCAUAUUUCAAUCAUUGACCUCGG